rnacentral:misc_RNA from 1 species
UGUCGAUACCUGUCCAAAACAGAACGACCCGCGAACCAACGAUCACCACUCUCGGUGGGCCGGUUUCUUAACCGAUCCUGUGCUCGCCGGAUCCGUGGUUUCGCGUAUCGCCCUGGUCGGGAGCUUUAUCUCGGUCUUGUCGUGCGCGUUGCUUCCGGAUAACACAAAACCCCGGCACGAAAAGUGUCAAGGAACAAGCAAACGAGCGGCUAGCAUUCGCCUCCCCGGAGACGGUGUGUGUGCGGGUGCUGUGCUGCGAUAUAAAGUCUAAAACGACUCUCGGCAACGGAUAUCUCGGCUCUCGCAUCGAUGAAGAACGUAGCGAAAUGCGAUACUUGGUGUGAAUUGCAGAAUCCCGUGAACCAUCGAGUCUUUGAACGCAAGUUGCGCCCCAAGCCUUCUGGCUGAGGGCACGUCUGCCUGGGUGUCACAAAUCGUCGUCCCUCAUAUUCCUUUGCGGAUGCGGGACGGAAGCUGGUCUCCCGUGUGUUACCGCACGCGGUUGGCCUAAAUCCGAGCCAAGGACGCUUGGAACGUCCCGACAUGCGGUGGUGAACAUGAUCCAUUUCAUAUUGUCGGUCGCUCCUGUCCGGAAGCUGUAGAUGACCCAAAGUCCUUUAAGCGACCCCAGGUCAGGCGGGAUUAC